CAUGGCAGACAGACGGCGGGUGCUAAGGUCCGUCGUCGAAAGGGAAACAGCCCAGACCACCAGCUAAGGUCCCCAAAUCACGACUAAGUGGGAAAGGAUGUGGGAAGGCCAAGACAACCAGGAGGUUGGCUUAGAAGCAGCCAUCAUUUAAAGAAAGCGUAACAGCUCACUGGUCUAAUCAAGGGUUUCUGCGGCGAAGAUGUAACGGGGCUCAAGACGUGCACCGAAGCUUAGGGUUCAGUCUUUGACUGAGCGGUAGCGGAGCGUUCCGUAAGCCUGUGAAGGUGAACCGUGAGGUUUGCUGGAGGUAUCGGAAGUGAGAAUGCUGACAUGAGUAGCGA
rnacentral:rRNA from 1 species